GACGAACGCUGGCGGCGUGCCUAAUACAUGCAAGUCGAACGCACUCUCGUUUAGAUUGAAGGAGUUUGCUCCUGAUUGAUAAACAUUUGAGUGAGUGGCGGACGGGUGAGUAACACGUGGGUAACCUGCCCUAAAGUGGGGGAUAACAUUUGGAAACAGAUGCUAAUACCGCAUAAAACCUAACACCGCAUGGUGUAGGGUUGAAAGAUGGUUUCGGCUAUCACUUUAGGAUGGACCCGCGGUGCAUUAGUUAGUUGGUGAGGUAAAGGCUCACCAAGACCGUGAUGCAUAGCCGACCUGAGAGGGUAAUCGGCCACACUGGGACUGAGACACGGCCCAGACUCCCACGGGAGGCAGCAGUAGGGAAUCUUCCACAAUGGACGAAAGUCUGAUGGAGCAACGCCGCGUGAGUGAAGAAGGUGUUCGGAUCGUAAACCUCUGUUGUUGGAGAAGAAUGUAUCUGAUAGUAACUGAUCAGGUAGUGACGGUAUCCAACCAGAAAGCCACGGCUAACUACGUG
rnacentral:rRNA from 1 species